rnacentral:rRNA from 1 species
GGUACCGUCAACUGGCGGACUUAUUCAUUCCUCCAGGAUUCUUCCCACUCGACAGGAGUUUACGAUCCGAGGACCUUCCUCCUCCACGCGGCGUCGCUGCGUCAGGCUUUCGCCCAUUGCGCAAAAUUCCUCA